UCUUUUAAAUCUGCAAAACAUGUAUACAGGCUACAGGAAGAAGACCUCCAGAGGACUGCAGCAACAAUAAGGGAAGUAAUGUUUCCUUUAAUUCUCAACUUUCACUUCAAAUGUUUCCAUCAGUUUUUGAAAUUUGUAACUAACUGAUGUCUUUCAAAUCUGGCAACAUUUAUACAGACUACAGGAAGAAGACCUCAGAGGACUGCAGCAACAGUAAGGGAAGUAAUGUUUCCUUUAAUUCUCAACUUUCACUUCAAAUGUUUCCAUCAGUCUUUGAAAUCUGUAACUAACUGAUGUCUUUCAAAUCUGGCAACAUUUAUAUACACUCUAAAAGGUAAUAGCUAUGCUUACUUAAAUCAUUAUAGUGUACUUUACUUAUCUGUCCCUAUCCUGUUGAUUUAACUCAUGGAAUGUAAGUAUGUACUCAUUUUUCCUUAAGGAGGUUUAAAUCUUAGUUCAUUUGAGUAAACGGGACUUGUAACAUUCUGUUCCUGGAAUGAACAGGCUCAGCAGAGCACGUGCGCAUGAGCAGUACAGAAGUUUCCAGAAACUGUGUGGACAAAAACGAGGGAAGAAAACAACAUUUUCUGGGUCUUGUGCUUGACGACAGACAACCAACACUGAUGCAGUGGACGUACCCAUGAUAUCGAAGCCAUGAGGACUGCUGUCCUGCGAUGUCUUCCAGUUUUCCUCGGGGAUGAUGGAAGUGAUUUUUUCAAAGUCUGUUUUGACACUGAUACCAUCGCAGAUGUCACACAAGUUCCUGUUGGGGUCUUGACUGUUAUACCUGAAGACAGACAGCAGCCAGAGUGUAGACUACGGGAGGAAGACCUCAGAGGACUGCAGCAACAAUAAGGGAAGUAAUAUUUCAUUUAAUUCUCAACUUUCACUUUAAAUGUUUACGAACCUGUAACUAAUGAAUGUCCUUUAAAUCUAGCAAAAGUGAUCCAGGAAGAAGACCUCCAGAGGACUGCAGCAAAAUAAGGGAAGUAAUACUGUUCUCUUCAAAUGUUAACGUGAUUAUUUUAAACUAAUUCCUGUCUCACUCUCCAGUGAAGAUGUCAACCCAGCAGCAGAGAAGAGGAACAACAACUCUCAGACUCUGGAUGAAGACCUCCAGGAAGAAGGCCUCCUGUGCUUUUGGAGAGAAAUAAAUGUCAUCCCUGUUACAAGA